UCGGGAAUUUUGGGCAAUGGGCGAAAGCCUGACCCAGCAACGCCGCGUGAGGGAUGAAGUAUUUCGGUAUGUAAACCUCGAAAGAAUGGGAAGAAUAAAUGACGGUACCAUUUAUAAGCUCCGGCUAACUUCGUGCCAGCAGCCGCGGUAAUACGAAGGGUGCAAGCGUUACUCGGAAUUACUGGGCGUAAAGCGUGCGUAGGUGGUUGUUUAAGUCUGAUGUGAAAGCCCUGGGCUCAACCUGGGAAUGGCAUUGGAAACUGGGCAGCUAGAGUGCGGUAGAGGGUAGUGGAAUUCCCGGUGUAGCAGUGAAAUGCGUAGAGAUCGGGAGGAACAUCUGUGGCGAAGGCGACUGCCUGGACCAGCACUGACACUGAGGCACGAAAGCGUGGGGAGCAAACA
rnacentral:rRNA from 1 species